UUACUCUAGUUUCCCUUCAGAGCGAAUAAAUCUUUCGCAUUUUACUAAAGAAUUCUAUGGAGGGGAGCACUCAAAUGAGUAUAUAACUCAAUUUUAUAUAAGUCAUUUAGUUUCUGUCUC